GUCCCUUUCUUUCAGUCCUAGUAAGUAGGUAGUAGGCAAGCCAUUUCUGAAGUCUUACAGAGAAAACUGUAGGGAUUAAUCCAGGUCAUCACCAAGAGUCAACCCUAAUUUGAAGGCAGACACCCCCAAAAGAAGAUGUUUCAUCAUUUGCAACAGAAGGACCUGAGCUGUGUGGUCCAGCAGAUUUUGUGCUCCAGAAGACAUCUAUUGGAUUCUACAUGAACAAAUUAGAAAUUUGCAGCAGAUUUGGGCUACUGAUAUCAUUAUCUCCAACAUAAAGUCAGUCUUCAAAAACAAGAAUGUAUUGUUAUAUGCAAUAUUCAUGUAGCAUACAGUAUAUAGCCUUGACUAAAUUGUGUUGUUUUCUUUGCAUUGUUCAAAAAAGAAAAACAUUUAAUCACUUUUAUGAAUGUUAUAUGACAACAAUAAAUUAAGAAUAGUGCUGAAAGUUAUUCAUUAUAUGUCCAUUGCUGCCUUCUGAUUAAGGCAAAUAAAUGAAACAUGUAUCUAUUUCA